rnacentral:rRNA from 1 species
CGUGUAGGCGGCCUAUUAUGUCAGGUGUGAAAGCCCUCGGCCUAACCGAGGAAGUGCGCCUGAAACUGCUAGGCUUGAGUACGAGAGAGGAGGACGGAAUUCCCAGUGUAGAGGUGAAAUUCGUAGAUAUUGGGAGGAACACCGGUGGCGAAAGCGGUUCUCUGGAUCGAUACUGACGCUGAGACGCGAAAGCGUGGGAGCAAACA